rnacentral:rRNA from 1 species
UACGUAGGGGGCAAGCGUUGUCCGGAUUUAUUGGGCGUAAAGAGCGUGUAGGCGGCUAGAUAGGUCCGUUGUGAAAACUCGAGGCUCAACCUCGAGACGCCGAUGGAAACCAUCCAGCUAGAGUCCGGAAGAGGAGAGUGGAAUUCCUGGUGUAGCGGUGAAAUGUGCAGAUAUCAGGAAGAACACCCGUGGCUAAGGCGGCUCUCUAGUACGGUACUGACGCUGAGACGCGAAAGCGUGGGGAGCGAACAGG